rnacentral:rRNA from 1 species
UACGUAGGGGGCUAGCGUUGUCCGGAAUCAUUGGGCGUAAAGAGCGUGUAGGCGGUCCGGUAAGUCCGCUGUGAAAGUCGGGGGCUCAACCCUCGAAUGCCGGUGGAUACUGUCGGGCUAGAAUCCGGAAGAGGCGAGUGGAAUUCCUGGUGUAGCGGUGGAAUGCGCAGAUAUCAGGAGGAACACCAAUAGCGAAGGCAGCUCGCUGGGACGGUAUUGACGCUAAGGCGCGAAAGCGUGGGGAGCAAACAGG